rnacentral:misc_RNA from 1 species
GAAUUGCGAUAAGUAAUGUGAAUUGCAGAAUUCAGUGAAUCAUCAAAUCUUUGAACGCACAUUGCGCUUUUCGGUAUUCCGGAAAGCAUGCCUGUUUGAGAAUCGAUCAACUCUCACUGGACUUAUUUGUUUCAGAUUAGUUUCAGAUCAUUUAUUUGGUUUUGGACGAUUUGGAGCCAGUUUGUUUCGGUGGAUUUGGGUUAUUUGCGUUUACGCAAUGACCUUCAAUUGAAUGUAUGGCCGCCGUCUGCUGAUGGUACUAAGGUUUGAGUGCAUGAAUAAGGUUAAUUCCUUUUUGAUUUCUCUCUUUCUGUGUACAUGUUUGGCUUUCAGUGGACAUCUCAAAUUAAUUUCACUUCGUGAGUCGUUUUGAUUCAUGUUUUGAACACUUGGUCUCAAA